AUUGAACGCUGGCGGCAUGCCUUACACAUGCAAGUCGAACGGCAGCACGGGAGCAAUCCUGGUGGCGAGUGGCGAACGGGUGAGUAAUAUAUCGGAACGUGCCCAGUAGUGGGGGAUAACUGCUCGAAAGAGCAGCUAAUACCGCAUACGACCUGAGGGUGAAAGGGGGGGAUCGCAAGACCUCUCCCUAUUGGAGCGGCCGAUAUCAGAUUAGCUGGUUGGAGGGGUAAAGGCCUACCAAGGCAACGAUCGGUAGUUGGUCUGAGAGGACGACCAGCCACACUGGGACUGAGACACGGCCCAGACUCCUACGGGAGGCAGCAGUGGGGAAUUUUGGACAAUGGGCGCAAGCCUGAUCCAGCAAUGCCGCGUGCAGGAAGAAGGCCUUCGGGUUGUAAACUGCUUUUGUCAGGGAAGAAAUCCUCUAGGUUAAUACCCUUGGGGGGAUGACGGUACCUGAAGAAUAAGCACCGGCUAACUACGUGCCAGCCGCCGCAGUAAUAC
rnacentral:rRNA from 1 species